GACGAACGCUGGCGGCGUGCUUAACACAUGCAAGUCGAACGAAGAGCGAUGGAAGCUUGCCUCUAUCAAUCUUAGUGGCGAACGGGUGAGUAACGCGUAAUCAACCUGCCCUUCAGAGGGGGACAACAGUUGGAAACGACUGCUAAUACCGCAUACGAUCUAAUCUCGGCAUCGAGGAAAGAUGAAAGGUGGCCUCUAUUUAUAAGCUAUCACUGAAGGAGGGGAUUGCGUCUGAUUAGCUAGUUGGAGGGGUAACGGCCCACCAAGGCGAUGAUCAGUAGCCGGUCUGAGAGGAUGAACGGCCACAUUGGGACUGAGACACGGCCCAGACUCCUACGGGAGGCAGCAGUGGGGAAUCUUCCGCAAUGGACGAAAGUCUGACGGAGCAACGCCGCGUGAGUGAUGACGGCCUUCGGGUUGUAAAGCUCUGUUAAUCGGGACGAAAGGCCUUCUUGCGAACAGUUAGAAGGAUUGACGGUAUCGGAAUAGAAAGCCACGGCUAACUACGUG
rnacentral:rRNA from 1 species